GAGUCGUUGAACUCCUCUGCGUCAGGGGCGGCCGGGAACCAUCCUUCCCAAGCCCGGAGGCUGGACUUUACAGCAAGACGGGGCGGAGAGCCCACGAGAGUGACCCUCACGGGAGUGGACGCCCCCCUUCCCUCGACGAUCGCUGGCUCGUCCCGGAGGCGAGUGGCCUGCAGUCCGAUCUUCAGCCAGGAGACCACGAUUCGCCGGGGACUCGGGAUUUGGUCUUCCCAGGACCGUGCUGCGGCGCCAGGGCCCUGAGCCAUAAGGGGGUGGGGGGAGGGGUGGGGAGAUCCCAGCACUGAACCCUUCUGCGCGGCUCUCUCUUGUGUAUCCUACAUGCAGGGGUGACACGGGCUUUCCCCCUCCAAGACUCAGAGAAAGGAGGGAGCUGCAGGGGCUCUUAAAUAAGCUGAAGCUCUCACAGGGAGGAGGGCACCAAAAGUAGCGGAGCUCAGUGCCCCCACCCAAGAGGUUUCCUGUUGCAGCCCUAAGUAUCUGGAUAUGGGUCAGGGAAGAAGGAAGGGCAAGAGCCAUGCCUCUGUCCUUCAAUCCUUGACUGUCUCCUCAGUUUUUUAGGAAGAGCAAGCUUUGUAAGUAGAGUGACUCACAAGUAUGUUAUCUUUUUUUUUUUUCUGUUCCUUAAGAUCUUGUUCCAGUAAUCACCCUAGCUCUUUCCUGAGCCUGUAGUGACAAUGUAGCCCUGCGAUUAGGAUGAAAUCUGUUGUGAAAGAAGAACUUUGAGCACAUUCUCUGCUUUUGAGUUGUAUUAUAGAACAGGAAAGGCUAAUAAGGUGGACUUCAAAUUAAGGAUUGUGCCAUGGGAAGGUUAAAUUGGCUUGUCUUUACCUCUCCUGAUAAACCCUAUUUACAUGCAGCCUAUACUUUUGAGAUGAGAAACAUCAAGGAAAAUGACAUGUAUAGCUCUGGGGCAGCAAGAAUUGUGCAUUCUCAAUUUGGGUUUCAUUUUCUUCUGCCACUUGCUUUUAGGCAAUUGAGUGUGGGUAGUGACAAGAUAUCAAACCCCUUAGUAUUUCCUUUUUGGGAAAUAAGGCACUUUUUAAAAAAAAAAAAAAACUUAUCCACCUGAGUCCCGAAACAGUUUGACUCUCCAGUUUUCUGGCCUACACUCUAGUCAGCUCUGAUCCAAGUUUUUGUAGAACAAACAGCCUUGCUUUAAGCCAUGUCCUGUUGUGGGCCAUGUAACAGCUGAACUGUCAUAGCCUGGGGGCAGGCUGAUAGCCAGGGUGUCUUGGCUGGAAGAGAUUUUGGGCAACUGACUUGCCUUUGGUCAUUAGAAAGCCUCCGAGGCCUUUUAAAAUUUUUGGUGGGGUUUGGAGGGAAAAAACAUAAAAUGCCACUUUAUAACUCCAAUAAUAACCUGUAAUUUAUAUUUAUUGUGUGAAUUUUUAGUCCUAUAUUUUAAUAAUUUGUAAAUUGAUCUUAUUCCAAGAAUCCUUUGAACUUGCAGGAGAACAUCUGGGAAUCCAGCCUCCUGUCCGGAUCCUGAUCCCUACAUUCAGACUGUUUAAUCCACUUUGGGAUGGAUCAAAGAGUCUAGAGAGACCACUCGUAGGUCCAGCUGCUGGCCUCCUGACUCUCUAAAGCCUUCACUGGAAUUGGAACAUUAGCUCCAGCUCUAGCUGUGAACGUGACCAGAGACAUUAUUUAUAAUUCAGCCAUUUAAGAUAUACCUGUACUCAAAAAGUCUUGUAUAUUUUUUAAAAGUUUUAUUUUUAAGGUGAACAAAAAUACAUUCUAAGAACUCUACAUAA